rnacentral:SRP_RNA from 11 species
GGGAAGAUUUCCAGCGCAGAACAGGGCGGCCGUGAAUGAGGCGUCCAGGAUCA